GUUGGAUCAGGACAUCCAAAUGGUGCAACCGCUAUUAAAGGUUCGUUUGUUCAACGAUUAAAGUCCUACGUGAUCUGAGUUCAGACAGGAGAAAUCCAGGUCGGUUUCUAUCUGUAAAUUCAUUUCUCCCAGUACGAAAGGACAAGAGAAAUAGGGCCAACAUUCACAAUAAGCCCUAGAAUCAAUAUAUGAAUUUAUCUAAAUAUACUAAAUCAACUUAUAUGCCCCCAAGAACAGGGUUAUUAAGAUGGCAGAGCUGGUAAUUGCAUAAAGUUUAAGCCUU
rnacentral:ncRNA from 1 species